rnacentral:piRNA from 1 species
AGGUUGGCUAGUGACUGCUGGGGAUGCAG